rnacentral:tRNA from 1 species
GAGACAUUAGUAAAACACGUAAAUUACAUCACCUUGUCAAGGUGAAAUUACAGGUUAGACCCCUGUAUGUCUUA